GUGCCAGCCGCCGCGGUAAUACGUAGGGGGCGAGCGUUGUCCGGAUUUAUUGGGCGUAAAGAGCUCGUAGGCGGUUCGAUAAGUCGGAUGUGAAAUCUCCACGCUCAACGUGGAGAGGCCAUUCGAUACUGUCGUGACUCGAGUCCGGUAGGGGAGUGUGGAAUUCCCGGUGUAGCGGUGAAAUGCGCAGAGAUCGGGAGGAACACCCGUAGCGAAGGCGGCACUCUGGGCCGGUACUGACGCUGAGGAGCGAAAGCGUGGGGAGCAAACAGGAUUAGAUACCCUGGUAGUCCACGCCGUAAACGUUGGGCACUAGGUGUGGGACUCUAUCGACGGGUUCCGUGCCGUAGCUAACGCAUUAAGUGCCCCGCCUGGGGAGUACGGCCGCAAGGCUAAA
rnacentral:rRNA from 1 species